CUCCCCGUGACCCGCUGUGCGGAAUUUGGAGAAAUUGUUUCUGCUUCCCUCUUUCAGUGCAUUUCCCUGCACUGGCAUGUGUGAGCUGCCUUCCGAUUACUGCUGCUGUGACGUAUAGGACGGUGCUGAUGCUGCUGCUGAUGCUGUGACAUAUAGGAAGGUGCUGAUGCUGAUGCUGUGACGUAUAGGAAGGUGCUGAUGCUGAUGCUGUGACGUAUAGGACCGUGAUGGAUGCUGAUGCUGAUGCUGUGACGUAUAGGAAGGUGGUGAUGCUGAUGCUGUGACGUAUAGGAAGGUGCUGAUGCUGUGACAUAUAGGAAGGUGCUGAUGCUGUAGCUGUGACGUAUAGGACCGUGAUGGAUGCUGAUGCUGUGAUGUAUAGGAAGGUGCUGAUGCUGAUGCUGUGAUGUAUAGGAAGGUGCUGGAUGCUGAUGCUGUGAUGUAUAGGAAGGUGCUGGAUGCUGAUGCUGUGAUGUAUAGGAAGGUGCUGAUGCUGAUGCUGUGACGUAUAGGAAGGUGGUGAUGCUGAUGCUGUGACGUAUAGGAAGGUGCUGAUGCUGUGACGUAUAGGAAGGUGCUGGAUGCUGAUGCUGUGACGUAUAGGACCGUGAUGGAUGCUGAUGCUGAUGCUGUGACGUAUAGGAAGGUGGUGAUGCUGAUGCUGUGACGUAUAGGAAGGUGCUGAUGCUGUAGCUGUGACGUAUAGGACCGUGAUGGAUGCUGAUGCUGUGAUGUAUAGGAAGGUGCUGAUGCUGAUGCUGUGAUGUAUAGGAAGGUGCUGGAUGCUGAUGCUGUGAUGUAUAGGAAGGUGCUGGAUGCUGAUGCUGUGAUGUAUAGGAAGGUGCUGAUGCUGAUGCUGUGACGUAUAGGAAGGUGGUGAUGCUGAUGCUGUGACGUAUAGGAAGGUGCUGAUGCUGUGACGUAUAGGAAGGUGCUGGAUGCUGAUGCUGUGACGUAUAGGACCGUGAUGGAUGCUGAUGCUGAUGCUGUGACGUAUAGGAAGGUGGUGAUGCUGAUGCUGUGACGUAUAGGAAGGUGGUGAUGCUGAUGCUGUGAUGUAUAGGAAGGUGGUGGAUGCUGAUGCUGUGACGUAUAGGAAGGUGCUGGAUGCUGAUGCUGUGACGUAUAGGACCGUGAUGGAUGCUGAUGCUGAUGCUGUGACGUAUAGGACCGUGAUGGAUGCUGAUGCUGUGACGUAUAGGAAGGUGCUGGAUGCUGUAGCUGUGACGUAUAGGACCGUGAUGGAUGCUGAUGCUGUGACGUAUAGGACCGUGAUGGAUGCUGAUGCUGUGACGUAUAGGACCGUGAUGGAUGCUGAUGCUGUGACGUAUAGGACCGUGAUGGGUGCUGAUGCUGUAGCCUGGUUUUGCUGUGAAGUAGUGUUAGAAAGCCACCAAACCGUGCUUCACUACCUGGUUGGACACAGAUGGGUAAAGUGGAAAACUGCUCUAACUUGGAUCUCUGGUGCUCUUAUGCUAG
rnacentral:sRNA from 1 species